rnacentral:rRNA from 1 species
AGUGAACGCUGGCGGUAGGCCCAACACAUGCAAGUCGAACGGCAGCACAGUAAGAGCUUGCUCUUACGGGUGGCGAGUGGCGGACGGGUGAGGAAUACAUCGGAAUCUACUUUUUCGUGGGGGAUAACGUAGGGAAACUUACGCUAAUACCGCAUACGACCUACGGGUGAAAGCAGGGGAUCUUCGGACCUUGCGCGAUUGAAUGAGCCGAUGUCGGAUUAGCUAGUUGGCGGGGUAAAGGCCCACCAAGGCGACGAUCCGUAGCUGGUCUGAGAGGAUGAUCAGCCACACUGGAACUGAGACACGGUCCAGACUCCUACGGGAGGCAGCAGUGGGGAAUAUUGGACAAUGGGCGCAAGCCUGAUCCAGCCAUACCGCGUGGGUGAAGAAGGCCUUCGGGUUGUAAAGCCCUUUUGUUGGGAAAGAAAGGCAGCAGGUUAAUACCCCGCUGUUCUGACGGUACCCAAAGAAUAAGCACCGGCUAACUUCGUG